GAGCGGAUGACGGGAGCUUGCUCCUUGAUUCAGCGGCGGACGGGUGAGUAAUGCCUAGGAAUCUGCCUGGUAGUGGGGGACAACGUUUCGAAAGGAACGCUAAUACCGCAUACGUCCUACGGGAGAAAGCAGGGGACCUUCGGGCCUUGCGCUAUCAGAUGAGCCUAGGUCGGAUUAGCUAGUUGGUGGGGUAAUGGCUCACCAAGGCGACGAUCCGUAACUGGUCUGAGAGGAUGAUCAGUCACACUGGAACUGAGACACGGUCCAGACUCCUACGGGAGGCAGCAGUGGGGAAUAUUGGGCAAUGGGCGAAAGCCUGAUCCAGCCAUGCCGCGUGUGUGAAGAAGGUCUUCGGAUUGUAAAGCACUUUAAGUUGGGAGGAAGGGCAGUAAGUUAAUACCUUGCUGUUUUGACGUUACCGACAGAAUAAGCACCGGCUAACUCUGUG
rnacentral:rRNA from 1 species